rnacentral:rRNA from 1 species
UACGGGGGGGGCAAGCGUUGUUCGGAAUUACUGGGCGUAAAGGGUUUGUAGGUGGCCCGCUAAGUCACACGUGAAAUCCCUCAGCUUAACUGGGGAACUGCGUGUGAGACUGGCAGGCUCGAGGGCAGGAGAGGAACGCGGAAUUCCAGGUGUAGCGGUGAAAUGCGUAGAUAUCUGGAGGAACACCGGUGGCGAAGGCGGCGCUCUGGACUGUCUCCGACACUGAAGAACGAAAGCCAGGGGAGCAAACGGG